rnacentral:rRNA from 1 species
UACGUAGGGUGCGAGCGUUAAUCGGAAUUACUGGGCGUAAAGCGUGCGCAGGCGGUUUUGUAAGUCUGUUGUGAAAUCCCCCGGGCUUAACCUGGGAAUGGCAAUGGAGACUGCAAGGCUAGAGUUUGGCAGAGGGGGGUAGAAUUCCACGUGUAGCAGUGAAAUGCGUAGAUAUCAGGAGGAACACCGGUGGCGAAGGCGGCAUCCUGGACCGGUAUUGACGCUGAGGCGCGAAAGCCAGGGGAGCAAACGGG